GACGAACGCUGGCGGCGUGCUUAACACAUGCAAGUCGAACGAUGAAGCCGGAGCUUGCUCUGGUGAAUUAGUGGCGAACGGGUGAGUAACACGUGAGUAACCUGCCCUUGACUCUGGGAUAACUGCGGGAAACUGUAGCUAAUACCGGAUACGACCCUCGGAGGCAUCUCCUGGGGGUGGAAAGAAUUUCGGUCAAGGAUGGACUCGCGGCCUAUCAGCUAGUUGGUGAUGUAAAGGCUCACCAAGGCGACGACGGGUAGCCGGCCUCAGAUGGUGACCGGCCACACUGGGGGUGAGACACGGCCCAGACUCAUACGGGAGGCAGCAGUGGGGAAUAUUGCACAAUGGGCGCAAGCCUGAUGCAGCAACGCCGCGUGAGGGAUGACGGCCUGCGGGUUGUAAACCACUUUUAGCAGGGAAGAAGCGAAAGUGACGGUACCUGCAAAAAAGCACCGGCUAACUACGUGCCAGCCGCCGCAGUAA
rnacentral:rRNA from 1 species